rnacentral:rRNA from 1 species
CCUACGGGCGGCAGCAGUGAGGAAUAUUGGUCAAUGGACGAGAGUCUGAACCAGCCAAGUAGCGUGAAGGAUGACUGCCCUAUGGGUUGUAAACUUCUUUUAUAUGGGAAUAAAAUGUUCCACGUGUGGGAUUUUGUAUGUACCAUAUGAAUAAGGAUCGGCUAACUCCGUUCCAGCAGCCGCGGUAAUACGGAGGAUCCGAGCGUUAUCCGGAUUGAUUGGGUUUAACGGGAGCGUAGGUGGAUUGUUAAGUCAGUUGUGAAAGUUUGCGGCUCAACCGUAAAAUUGCAGUUGAAACUGGCAGUCUUGAGUACAGUAGAGGUGGGCGGAAUUCGUGGUGUAGCGGUGAAAUGCUUAGAUAUCACGAAGAACUCCGAUUGCGAAGGCAGCUCACUGGACUGCAACUGACACUGAGGCUCGAAAGUGUGGGUAUCAAACAGGAUUAGAUACCCUUGUAGUC